CGGUUUUAUUUUAUUUUCCAAUUUGUUUUUGUUUUAUAAAACAUACAAAUAGCACCUAAAUUAGUAAUACUAAUUAUACCAUUGCAAAAUAAUUUUGGCACCAAAAUAAAAUAGUUUAAUAUUUUAUAAUUUAUAAAUGACAUUUUAUUAAUUAUUUAGUCCAUUGUUUUAAUUAUUUUAGGGUAUUUAAUCACUUUAUAAAAAUGUGGUUUCUUCCCCAAUAUUACUUAUGAAUUGUUUGUCACAGCUUGUACUUUUUAGUUUUGAAAUUUGAAAACUUUAUUUGUUUGACUUUAUUUUGAAUUUGAAUCUGAACUGGAUUUAAACCAACGCGAGAUUAACAACAGUAAUGGUGGUGACAUGGCAUAAUUAGCAUUCAAUUACUGUAUUAAGAUCCGAGCGUUACAUCAUGCAAUCACGUAGCCUAGGCAGUAUCAAUUUGGCAACAUAACCACUAUACAGCAUGAUCAUUCAAAGAACAACAUCAAAACACCCAGAACACACUAUAUAGUAGCAUUGUAUGCAGUAUCAAUGUGGCAUGAGCAAACCAAUCUUCCUUAGGCAGUAACAAUGUGGCAAGAACAACAACAAAUGCAUCAAUCUAGCAUGACUAAGGAAGCAACAUUCUCAUCUAAGCAGUAGCAACACUUGCAUUGGUCUGAUUCAACCUAAAUGUACUAGACUCGGAUCGAACCUGAUCGAAUCAAAUUGAAUUGGACUAAAUCCAAUCCAAUCCAUUGUGAACAAUCAAAUCUAACAUUGCCCUGACCAUUACUCAAAGUACGCUAAAAACCAUAACUAUACUCAUCUACAAGGGGAACUAAUGGAAGCUUACCAGAGCCGGUGCAUCAUACACCGGCCGUGAAGGAAACCCUGGCGGGAACAGGGGUGCCGCCGUCGCGAAUAUGAGUUGGCCACUCCGAGGGCCACGGUCGUGGUCCUCGUCGCACGCCAGCUGCAGAAUGAGCGUGCCGUCCUUGAGCUCCCCUCCCCUUGCACCGAACACAGGGCAGAAAACCCUCGAAUAUGGGUAAAAAAAUACCCCCAUAAGCCGGGCCUGCCAAAGCGAUAGGUGGUGGAGUUUGUAACCCCGCCAUCUCGAUCCCGAAAUGAGCAGGUCUGGUGUUGGUGGCGGAGCUGGAGCGUGCGGCGACAGUGGUGCAUUGGCCCGUGGUGGCGGCAUCACGCAGAUAGGGGGAGGCGCCUGGAGAAUCGCGAAAAGAUCCCGGCCGGAAGAGGGGAGGCCGGUAGUCCACCUCUCCUAGAUGGGGUUGCUACCGGCAAUGUUUUUAUGGUGUUGGUAUCUCGUCGCUAUAACGACGAUAUAAAGUUCUGGCGUGGUCGAAGGCUGAGGUGUCCAGGAUUGCAAUCCUUUUGACAUGUGGCGUCCGCCAUACCCCUGUGGCGUCCAUAUAUUGUCCAUACGACGCGUCUUCGAUCGCCAUAAGCGAAACAGGACGCCAUGGGCGACUAGGAGUGCUGGCGCGCGAGAUCCAGCAGCCAGUGGCGGGAGAAAUUGGCCAGCACGGGAACAAGUUGCCAACGGCGGGAAGGAAAAGGGGAUCGGGGGGAAGAGCAUCGCUGGAAUCAGAGAGAGAGAGAGAGAGAGAGAGCAUUACGCUACGCACCUCGACCACGUCCUCUCCGGCGACCAGCUACCGACGGCAAGCUCCAGCCUCUGCACCACCUCCUCUCUGCCCCUGCCACGAUCUCCUCCUCCCCUUUCCCCUCCUCCCGCAACCUCCUUUCCCCUCAUGGCCUCCUUCCCGCCUCCCCUCUUUCCCCUUCAGAUCCAGCUACGGGGCAGCGACUCAGCUCCAAUCCAGCACCACAGUGACUCUUCUACGUGCAUCAGGGCACCAUCAAGGCCGACACAAUGGCUGAUGCACCUACUGGUGAUGCCGAUGAUGCCGUUGAGGCUGAGAUGGAUCUGAUGCUUGAUCCUGCACGGAAGCCACUUAGGUCAAAUGAUCCAGGUUGGAAGUAUGGGUAUUGGACUUACCCUCCCGUCCGAGACAUUGUCACAUGUAAUCUUUGUAAAAGGAAGUUGACUGGAGGUAUAACAAGGUUGAAAGAGCAUCUUGCGGGCGCUUAUGGUGAUGCUUUGAUAUGUCUCAAGACAACUACCCUAAUCAGGAUUGAGUUGGAGCGAGCUUUGCAAAAAGGGUGAAGGGCGAAAAGGCCAGUGUUAAUCGAUGAUGGUGGAGAGAAAGAGGUGGUGGAGGUAGCUGCUUCAGCUACAACAACAGCCUGCCCAAAACCAAGUUCUGGAACAGUGAAUAAAAGGAGUAAAACUGAUGUCCACAUUGCUGGUGCAGCCCAAGGCAAUGGAAAGGAGACCAACAACAACCAAAAGACCAUUGUUUCCAUGCUCCCAAAGAAGCUAGCGGAAGUUGUAGAUGAAAGGCAUUCUAGAUGUUCGCAAAACACCAUGGAGUCUAGCACAAAGACCAAAGCAGAUAGAGAUGAUGUGGGUAAAGAGUGGGCUUUGUGGUUCGCUGAGGCAAAAAUACCAUUCAAUGUUGCAAGCUCAAGGCAGUUUGAGAUUGCAAUUGAGGCAUAUUGCCAAUAUGGGUUUGGAUAUAA